ACGUGAAUUCGUGUAUUUCCGUCCUUCGUUCGCUUCCAUGUUCGAUCUUGCUUGACUAAAGUUCAAAUGUGGAUUCUCACAUACAAACUUGAAUGUUUACCGCGGUUUAUACGGCUGUAGGAUUAUGGCGGCUGCAGAGGUCGUCGCCUCGUGUAACGACGACGAUGAGCUGUGUCCGGCGAUGUUCGUUGAGUCCCAGCUGGACACGCCGGACCCUGAAGUCAUCGACAGGGGGAAGCUACUCGAGAAUCUACUUACCAUAUCGAAUUCGGGGACGCCGGUGAUUCAGGAGCGAACGGAGUACCCAUGCCCCCUCUGCCGGGGCACAUUCCGUGCCCUUGGUGACCUGGUGAUGCAUGAGUGCCCCAAGGAGAAGCCACCCCGGUCUCUGCUCACUUGCUGCUUCUGCAGCUUUGCCACUGAGCAGACUACUAUAUUUAGGGCCCACCUAGAUUUGCACAUCAAGCCGUCGUUGCGGUGUGGCCACUGCAACCACACGUUCCCGAAUGAAAACGUCCUGCUACAGCACCUGCAGCUGCACGGGUCAAGUUUGCCACUAGAGCCCCUGGCUGCCAUCAAUAGUACGUCGCCAUACACUGCCUACUUGGCCCCCCAGACAACUCCCAUUCUGGCUAACAAUAACGGCACCCUCUGCGUAAUCAACACGCCCACCUAUGUGGUACCAGUGCUCGAAGACUACCACUCGAGGUACACAUGCACAUUGUGCAACGCUAUGUUCCACCGACUGAGUCUGCUGGCGGCACACGGUCUCAAGCAUUCCGAGUUUCCAGACAUCCACAUCCAGGAGAACCUCCUGCUGCCAGGCAGGGGCUCGCAAGAACCAUUUGGAGCGCUCAUGUGCUCUCAGUGCUGCGUUGUGUUCACCCACCCGGUGGCCCUGGCGGCCCACUCGUGUAACUGUAAGGGCGAAGAGAGCAGCGGGACCAACGCCUCUCUUCUGGCGGGGCAGCAGAACACGUCACCACUGCAGCUCAUUGAGCAACAGCCAAACCAGCAGUUGCCCCAGCAGCUCUCUCCAGGAGUGGCCUCGAGCCCCGUGCGGCUAUACUGCUGCCCGUACUGUCCCUACACUUCCUACCUGCUGGCCAGCCUCAUCAGACACAAGGAGGUCCACUUCUCUCACCGUUGCAGUGAAUGCUCUGUUCGGCUCCCCACAAUGCUUGCCCUCAUACAGCACAAGCAAAAGAUGCACUCCGGUGCUUCUGCAUCAGCAACUCCGGUGACACCAGCCCCACCAACAACCCCAGUGAACAGUAACGGUCCUCACAAACGAGGGCGGCCAAGGAAGACGCAAGAGGAGAUUGAAAUUGACAAAAUGGGGCGCAUAUGGCACUGCAAGACCUGCGGAGUUAGUCUGCGGAAAGGUGCUGAGGACGUUGCCACCCACAAAUGUACAAUGUUCCGGUGCCCUCACUGCACGUUCGAAACUCACAAACCAAACGGUCUCAACAUUCACAUCAACUUUGCUCAUACAUUCAGGUGCCAGAGGUGUUGGAAAACUUUUGUGACAAAACAGGAGCGCACAUUGCAUUGCACCUACUCGUGUCCGGAAAGGCCAUUCAAGAAUGUCACCGAAGACGACAUCCCACUGGCAGUGCUCAUGCAGCUCUCAGAGCGAAAAUCCUACGAGCAGCAGGACCCUGUCCACCCUUCCAAGAAGCCGUCUGAGCAUUCUUCUGGACACCAGUCUGGAAACACUUCACAGGACAGAAACGAGCACCAACCCGAAAAGGACCCCGGUGUAGUGGAAGCGUAUACCAGGAAGAGGGGCCGCCCGCCGAAAAAUAGACCUCAGGGGACAUUGACAGUUCCGCAGCCAAACCAUGCAGAACCCAAAGCUGUUAGCAGGAAACGUGGGAGACCCCGAGGAAGGCGGAAAUAAGGAGCCUACCUAAGUUUCCGGGACUGAGCUGCUUCUGGCCCACAGUAUCAGCCGCUUUCCCUUUGCUCCAAGUCUGCUGCCAUCAUUUUUCAAGAACUCUCAACAGGGUUGGCAUCACCAGUGCUGCUCGAACACUAUAUCUUGUGAUACGUUGAAAACCCCGCCUGUUUUCCCCUCAAGCUUAUCAGAAUACGUCCAUCACGAGCACUCCUUGUCAGCGCACUUUGAAAGUGAAGGCUGCUAUGUGCCAGCACGGUUUGGUAAUAAUCUGCAGGACACGCCCGCUGGGUGCUCAGCAGUGCAGACCCCAGGCAUUCCCUCGGUGUUGUGGGUGGCUAGCUCAAAACCAUUUUCUUGUGCUUUCCAGUCGUAUUGGUGCUUCCCGAUACAGUCCACAGGGGCAUUCUCUAAGCAUAGACCUUGUGUGCAUUGAUUGGAUAGUGUUCAAGAACACCCGCCAAUCGUCACUGCAGGGACUCAAGAGCUCUAUCCAAUCAGCAUGCACUGAAAUGCGGUAGUCCACUCGGUGAACUCUUACAAAAAAAAAAAAGAAAAAAAAACUCCCAUGUUUGCUGCUUACUGCUUCCUUGUUGAUAUAAAUAAACUCGGUGACCUUUGUAGUUAAGUAAUUUUUCUAUUCACAUUACGCAGAGAGAGAGAGGGGGGGGGGGGGAGGGAGGGGGGGAGGGAGAAGGGGCAAUGCCGGCAACCUUGUCAGUGUGCAACAGCAAGGGCCCUCGUGAUGCAUUUUUUUCAAUGUAGAAACAAAAAAGGAAGUAAUAGUGAAUAUGUUGUAGUUUGUAGCAUAUCCUAAAGUCUUACAUGUGUUACUGUUUGUUGAUCUGUCCAAACCCAUUGCAUUUGAGGUAAAAAGGCUUAAUCAAAGAUGACCUUUCCUAACACCACCUCUAGCAAAAGUGUACAGGCCCACUGAGAUCCUAUGAAACACAAUUGCAAUCAAGUACAAGCGCAUGCAUAAGUACAACUUCUGCACCAAUCACAUUCGCUGCUAGUGGGCAGCCGGUGUGAUAAUGCAGUGCGACUGUUAUAGCCUCUUCUCACACACCGUGGCUGAAUAGUUCAGAAAAAAGUAUACAGUGUAGGCUAAAACAACUCCUGACCUGUGAGCUUAACAUCAGUCUUCCGUAUGAACUUUAUCAAUUUACCGAGGCUGACAUUCGCCACCAGAAGGCGUCAUGGUCAGAUGCGUUGUCUGAAGAAGUGAUCUUUCAGUUUUUUUGCGAAUUGUUGCAGGUAAUUCACGGGCACCGUUCUUUUCCAUUCUUCCAAGAAAAACUGUGGGCGAGAGGCAUGCAUGUAUCUGCACUGCUGUUUGCCCAAUCGGGAAACCGAGAGCGUGCGUUAAUUUAGGCAAGCACGUUACUGACGAAACAGUUCCUGCGCCAAGCCAGAGUACGUAUUCAUUGACCAGUGAGUGCAAUUGUCGACAGGGCAUUGACAGGGAGCCAAAAAUGAUUGGCCAACAAUGUGUAACACUGCUGUUGUGGUAAUCAUAUCGUGUGUGUUUUAAUUUGCAGUGUCAUAUCGUCGCUCCUUAUUUUUCAUAUAACACUAUCCUACUCUGCCGAUGAUAAAAUCAAGUGCAAAUGUCUGUACAUACUGUUUUUGUCUUUAUGUAUAAUGUGGAGUUGUGCGUGUGUGCAUGUGUGUUUGGUAAGAUGCGUGAAUGUCGGUGACAGCACAUUUACUGCAAGACUGCAAGCGACGGUGGUUGUAUUGAGACAGGCUGUGCUGUGGCAAAACAAAGAAGCUAUCCUCUUUUUUUUUUUUUUUUGUAGUCAAUGCCAUGCACAAGUGUCAAAUAGCUAAACAGGUCUGGGUAGUGAGAAGGUUCAUAAAGCGAAUGAACUGCUGUCAAACUGCGUCGAUCCAACUUUUAUAAUUUUAAAUGAACUUAAAGGGUGCCUACUAAUUUUAACAAACUGGCAUUGGUAGAAAGAAAAUUUUGCACGGUGCGCCCUCAUGUGCAACCUGCAACUCAAACCAUCAUGCUGGAGAAUUUUCUUUCUUCAGCAUUUGCAUUAAAGAAGGCUCAUUUUAGCCAAGGCAACAACUAGGGUGAUAAAACAUAUAUUAUUAGUAGAGCGAUUAGCUGUUCAUAUCAUGGGGCCACGUUCUUGCGAGAAUGUACGGCAGUUAAUUGCACCGCACACAGCUUUGGCAAGUAACCGUAAACUUGGCUCAUCAUGUAAAUAAUGUGGCACUUCGUAACACUAAGAGGAAUCAAAAGGACAACACAAAAAAGUUCGUAGGGAUUCACAGUUCAAAUCACAAAUCCCCGGCAUGUUAUCUUGUUCAGCUUUCUAUCGUGCUACCACCUGUCACACGGGCAAAUCUAGAGUAAAAAUUUUCAGUGCACUUUGGUGGUGCACUGCUCCACGAGAAAGCUUGCUUUUUAAUUAAUAGUAAUUGCAGCGGAUGAACCAGUGAGCACAACAGAUAUUAUACCCUAUUCUAGGCAAUGUCUGUUAUGUAAUGGCAUGCUAUUGUUACGAACAGGAUUUGGGACAUGGCCAUUGCGCGGCAUGGAUAGCGACACGCCCCUGGCGACUGUGGCAUUACUACAGCAGCUUAAAUGUUUCCAUAUACGAUUGAAUGAUCAAUAGGCAACUCUUUUUUUUUUUUUUUUUUUUUUUUUAAUCCACAGAAAUUAAAGCGACUGUGAAGACCAAGCAGAAAGCCCAGAGGGGUAAAGGCAAGGGAAAAAAGCGAGACAGCAGGCUAGAAGGUACUGCAAUAAGAUUAAAAGCCCAUAAAAAAAAAUAGUGGUGCCAAACUUCCCUUCCCCUUUUCUCUUUUCUGUCACAUAUUCAGUGGUACCGUUGCCUUGACACAGUCUCCAGCAACACUUGAGCUAAAUUAUUCAUAAGCAAGCCAUUGAGCUAAAUUAUUCAUAAGCACGCCAUUCUGCUGAAGCAAUUUUGAUAGCUGGUAAUUGUCUCAUUCCAUUUUGGGGCAUUAUACAUUGUAUGUCUAAGUGCAGUGGCUGUGGUAUCGGAUGUCUUGAAAAACUGCCUGUCACUGUUACUAUACUCUUUUUGUAAACAGCCUUUUAUUUGGGGAUGUGGUUGAUGCACUUGUGUAUUAUCCUGUUACCAAUUCAUUCGAAGCAGUGAGCAGAUUUUAACUUUUAAAUCGAGCUAAUGUGUGCAGCCAAUGGGACACUUGAAUGUGGCUUUAAAGGAGCAAGUAGCAACAUUAAAAUUUGAGCUUAAAAAGACAUCAAAUGUAAUUAUUUGUAUUGCUGUUCAAAUAUGAUUGCCAUAUACGGACAUGUUUAAAGUGCCGUUAUCUGUUUGUUCAGCGUUAAUGUAAUAAAAUGGAAUUGGCUCUGUACACAUUUCAAAGGGCCACGAGACCAAAUUUUACAAGCUUGAGCCACACAACUGUCCCCACACUCGUUGGUGUCACACGAGCCUUGUCAAAAUGGCGUUUGCUGUUAGUGGUGCGGAGCACAGAGGCGGCAAUUUUGAGUUCGAAUUUAUCUCUUUGUGUGUGUGUUUUAAGUGUGUGUAACUAGGUUCGCCACUCUAUUAUUAUGUCAUUGCCUUUUUAGGUGCAUGCAAACAAAAGGAAAUAAACCUUCUGAGGCGAGACAGGGCAGCCCUUGUGAAUACAAAAAAUUUUUUGGGCAUGGAAAGCGUGUCACGAAGUGCAUAUUUUUUUUUUUUAAUGACAAUUUUGAGGGCUAGUUGGUUCAUAUUUAACAACCGAGGAUGAAACGGCACAACUACAACAUACGACACAAAGGAACAAAUGCCACAGGACAGGCGCUGACAGUCAAGUGAAUGUCUGUUUGAAGAAGGCUGGGCUCUUAUACAAUUCCCGAUAGACAUGCACACAUCUAUACUAAAAGGCUGGUUUUCUUAAACUUUCAGUUGGCUAUCUGCACUUGUCAUGUGGUAUUUGUCAUUUUGCAUCCUUGUUUCAGUCACCCUGUUUCAUUCUCAGAUCUAGACUUAUACCCCUGUCACACGAGGCAACUUAAGUGCACUUUGAGGGAGUGCACUUCGCCGCUAGUGCCAUUCGCACGCUGUCACAUGGGAACGUUUUAGUGAUGACACUCGCUGCAAAGCGCACUUGCCGGCGAGUGCGUUCGCCAAACUCACUUCACCGAGAUGGAGUGUCUAGCCUCGAUAGCAGUGUCUCGAAAAUAAAUAAAUUAUUAUCCGAAGCCGAGUUCAUAGCAUUUUUGAACUAUCCUUUUCUUCAUUAGGAAUAUUUUUAUGCAUUAAAACAUACUAUAAUACAAAACACUACUUUGCUAUUCUCGUUCUCGGGCAGUUUACAGCCACGACCACCAGGGGCAUGCUCAGCGCACGCUGUGCAAUGGCUGCAGCCGCCGCGAUUGUACGUAAAUUUUAUUUUAAGGGCUGGUUAUAGCUGUAACACAGUGUUACCUAAGAAACAUUGCCUGAAAUAACACAUACCUGUUGUGCUACUUAAGUACCCAUCGCCAUUACAAUCAUUUCCAAAGUGCACUUCCCUUUCUCGUGUAGCAGCGCACCGCCAAAGUGCCAUUCUGGGGGCGUAAGUGCACUCGCUCAAAAUGACACUAAACUUGCCAGUGUGACAGGGGUAUUAUGUAUGCUCUAGAGAAACAGACUUGUGCUCUUAGGUAAAUCCACGUAUUAACCAGAUUCAGAUGGAAUUGCAGUCUCAGAUUACCAUCCAGUAAGAGUAUGAAAAUUCUUAUAAUGUAACAACCCACUUGGCUACGUUGCCAAGUGGGUUGAAAAAAUUUAAAUGCACAUUUGGCCAACAGUUCAUAGCUCAGCAUCACAUUACCUGCUGUGCCAAACAAAGGAGCGGUGCGACGGCUGGCUUUUUUGACCAACGCUUCUGCUGAAAACCAUCAUCGGGUCACACUGGCUGCGCAGACCAGCGAAAACCUGGCACGUUCAAUAAAACUACAAACUGUGCAUCUUGGUUCAACGGAUUUUCUCACUGUCCCUUUCAACGCUUGCUCUUCCCAGUUCUGUGCAGUUUUCUAGUGUGUAUUACUUUGUAUUGAGUGCAGCAGUUAUGUGAACGAUAACCAUUUUUCUGAUGCCUGCAGUAAAUUGUUGCUCCUACCCGCAAAUCAAAGACUAUUUUCAGCUAAGUUUGUUUCUAAUGCUUGCGCUUUCACUCUGGCAUUGCAUACGUGCAGAAUGUUAGCCGGCAGACAAUUGUGUAUGUCACCACUCAUGCGAUUCAGCUCGACACCGAGCUGCCGCAAUAUUUAAUACCAUUUUGUGACAACUUGAGAAUCAGAGCAAAUUCUGUAAGAGAGUCGCCAAUCUUCACUUUUGCUUGGAAGAAUUGAGUGUCUUUCUCAAGUCACCGUGACUGCAUCGCUCACAUAACUCGUCCUUGGUCGUUGUUUUCAGUUGGAAAUACUUCUAAAAAAAAAUUUGCAUGUGAUGUUACAACAGCUCAAUGAUGUGCAGUUUGUUGACGUCCACUGUAUCAAAAAAGAGCUCAAAUCUCAACAAAUGAGGCAUAAUUAUGAGCAAACAGCCUCACUGACCAGAUGUAUUAUUCCAACCAAUUGCAGUGUGUGCAGCAUGUGGUUGAUCCUGAAUUGAACAUGUUUGUCUCGAGACUUGUAUUCGUGGAGGAAGGAAAGAAACUGCGAGGGAAAUAAAUCAAAGGCAGCCCGGAAUGUGAUCACAUUGCAACAGCAUGGGAUUGUCUGCUACUGCUGUGUUGUGCAUGGUGCAAGAAACAACCAAAUUGCAAAAGCAUAUUGUGAUAAAAUGUGCACAGCGCAGCUACACAGGUGCCCAUCACUCAAAACAUGGAAGAAAAUUCUAGGCCAAGUUCGUCGAGGCCGCUUAAAGAGACGGAGAGGUCAUGUGGUGGGCCGACUUUUGAGGGCACAGGAGAGAGAAAAAAUAUCAGAGAGCUGGCUGGCAAAGAUAAUUUUGACAUGAUGGUCCUUCCUAGUUUCUUUCCUCCAUCCAUGCUUUUAUACAGAGUUCUUGCAACACUUCAGUGCUUAGUUUAAUUCAAUAAAACUCUUGUCAUACAGGGCUAUUCUACUUUUUUUUUCUCUCUCUCUCAUCUGUUGUCAUGAAUAAACAUUUUCACUUUUUUCUUUGUCCACUCGCAUCGUUUUAAGAUCUGUUAAGGCAGUUAUUUUUGGUAAUAAAGCAAUGUGUACUUUUGAA